GCAACGACAUGUAUAGUUGGAGG
rnacentral:miRNA from 1 species